GACGUAGGGCGCGAGCGUUGUCCGGAUUUAUUGGGCGUAAAGGGCUCGUAGGCGGCCAACUAAGUCGGAUGUGAAAUCCCCAGGCUUAACCUGGGAACUGCAUCCGAUACUGGAUGGCUUGAAUCCGGGAGAGGGAUGCAGAAUUCCAGGUGUAGCGGUGAAAUGCGUAGAUAUCUGGAGGAAUACCGGUGGCGAAGGCGGCAUCCUGGACCGGCAUUGACGCUGAGUGAGCGAAAGCCAGGGGAGCAAACGGG
rnacentral:rRNA from 1 species